GACGAACGCUGGCGGCGUGCCUAAUACAUGCAAGUCGAGCGAGCUUGCCUAGAUGAUUUUAGUGCUUGCACUAAAUGAAACUAGAUACAAGCGAGCGGCGGACGGGUGAGUAACACGUGGGUAACCUGCCCAAGAGACUGGGAUAACACCUGGAAACAGAUGCUAAUACCGGAUAACAACACUAGACGCAUGUCUAGAGUUUGAAAGAUGGUUCUGCUAUCACUCUUGGAUGGACCUGCGGUGCAUUAGCUAGUUGGUAAGGUAACGGCUUACCAAGGCAAUGAUGCAUAGCCGAGUUGAGAGACUGAUCGGCCACAUUGGGACUGAGACACGGCCAG
rnacentral:rRNA from 1 species